rnacentral:rRNA from 1 species
CCCUUAGAUGUCCGGGGCCGCACGCGCGCUACAAUGGAUGAAUCAACGCGUCAUCCUGGCCCGAAAGGGUUGGGGAACCGCUGAACCUCAUCCGUGGUUGGGAUUGGGGUUUGUAAUUAUUCCCCAUGAACUAGGAAUUCCCAGUAAGCGCGAGUCAUAAGCUCGCGUUGAUUACGUCCCUGCCCUUUGUACACACCGCCCGUCGCUACUACCGAUUGGAUGGUUUAGUGAGAUCCUCGGAUUGGUCACGGCACGGUGGCAACACUGCGUCGGUGUGCCAAGAAGACGAUCAAACUUGAUCAUCUAGAGGAAGUAAAAGUCGUAACA